rnacentral:rRNA from 1 species
UUCCGGUUGAUCCUGCCGGAGGCCAUUGCUAUCGGAGUCCGAUUUAGCCAUGCUAGUCGUGCGAGUUCAGACUCGCGGCACCGAGCUCAGUAACACGUGGCCAAACUACCCUACAGAGACGGAUACCCUCGGGAAACUGAGGUUAACCCGUCAUACCGAUCUCAGGCUUGAAUCGCAGAGAUCACAAAAUGCCCCGGCGCUGUAGGAUGUGGCUGCGGUUGGUUAGGUAGACGGUGGGGUAACGGCCCACCGUGCCCAUAAUCAGUACAGGUUGUGAGAGCAAGAACCUGGAGACGGAAUCUGAGACAAGAUUCCGGGCCCUACGGGGCGCAGCAGGCGCGAAACCUUUACACUGCACGCACGUGCGAUAAGGGGACUCCGAGUGCGAGGGCAUAUCGUCCUCGCUUUCGUGUACCGUAGGGUGGUACACCAACAAGGGCUGGGCAAGACCGGUGCCAGCCGCCGCGGUAAUACCGGCAGCCCGAGUGAUGGCCGAUCUUAUUGGGCCUAAAGCGUCCGUAGCUGGCUGCGCAAGUCCGUCGGGAAAUCCACUCGCCCAACGAGUGGGCGUCCGACGGAAACUGC